rnacentral:tRNA from 1 species
GGCUGGAUAGUUCAGUUGGUAGAACGGCAGGAUCAUAAUCUGCAUGUCGGGGGUUCGAGUCCCUCUCCCGCCA